GACACUCCUUUCCUCUGGGCAUAGGGAGGAAUGCUCUGGAAUGAGUUUUAUGAGCAACUUCCAGGGGAAGGUCAGCUAGGACUUAUGACACACUUCAGGGAAGAAGGGGUCUCAGAGAGAUCUUCCUGCCUCUGCUAUUUUCUCAGAUGCCAAGCACUUAUCUCUGAAGUCUCACUUUUUAAAUAUGUUACAAUGAAUUGUGAUCCUGUUUUAUGUAUCUGACUGACAGCACUGGGAAUUAAGUUCCUCAGCCAAUGAAAUAAUAAACCCAAUGCCACGAUAAAACCUACGGUAGAGACUGAUAAGGACUCCAGAUCCAGGCUGCUAAUACUCUUCAAAGUCAUUCAGCUGUGGCUACUACAUGAUGUCUGAGUGUUUCCAC
rnacentral:lncRNA from 1 species